rnacentral:lncRNA from 1 species
CGUAUUCCUACACUACACAUAUAUUUUUAAAGUUAUCCAUGCUGACACUUGUAUCUCUAAUUUUUCAUUCAAUUGUAUAAAUAUUAUUUAAUAGUAUGAACAUUUAUUGAACAUUAUUCAAAUGUAUAAACCACAAAUUAUUCAUUUUUUUCUUCUGUUGAUGGAUUUUCUACAUGUUUAUGUUAUUUUCCAUUUUUUGGCUCUCACAAACAAUGCUCCCAAAUUUAUUCUUGUGCAGGUCUCUGUACACAUGGGCAAAACUUUCUCUAGAAGUGGAAUUGCCUGGCCAUAAGACAAGGUAUCUGUCAUGCAGACUGGAAUGCAGUGGUGCGAUCAUGGCUCCCUAUAAGCUUGAACUCUUGGGCUCAAGUGAUACUGCCACCUUGGUCUCCUGAGUAGCUGGGACUACGAGUGUGUACCACCACUCCUGGAUAUUCACGAUACUGUGAAUUAGACUUAGGCACUGUUCUAAAUGUUGAGGACAUGAAGAGGAACAAAGGUGGACAAGGUUCCUGAUCCCAUGGAGUUUGUGAGAAACAGACAAUAAACAUACAAGUAAGAUAAUUGUAGGUAAUAUUAGACAUUAGGAAGAAAAUUAACUGUAUGGCAUGAGGGGGAGUGUAGAAGGUGGAUAGCAUAUGGUGCAUAGCUCCCUGAUAUGUACAAACAUCGUGCCAGGCCCUUGGGAAGAGGUAUAAGUUUCAAGCCUUGUGUAACCUGGUUUUGUUCCUGGCUUAGCCAUUGUCUAUCUGUAUGACCCUGGGCAAGCUAUUUAAACUCUUUGUACCUCAGUUUUGUCAUUUGUAAAAUGGAAAUAUUACCUCAGUCAUCAUAUUAUGUGAGCAUUAACU